CAUGUAGGCGGUCUUGUAAGCUUGGCGUGAAAGACCACGGCUCAACCGUGGGAUUGCGUUGAGAACUGCGAGGCUUGAGUGACGGAAAGGGAGCUAGAAUUCCUGGUGUAGGGGUGGAAUCUGUAGAGAUCAGGAAGAAUACCAAUGGCGAAGGCAAGCUCCUGGCCGAUGACUGACGCUGAGGUGCGAAAGUGUGGGGAUCAAACAG
rnacentral:rRNA from 1 species